rnacentral:rRNA from 1 species
UCGUAAAGUUGUCUCGAGUAGGAUUCCAACGCACAAACUUCCUCAAACUAAUCUGUCGAGUUCCCCGAGACCUCAAUUGCGGCUGAGACGUUUUAUACUCCUUAAAGAGAAAACUGAACUAGACCAUCAUACCUGUCAUGUAAAGGGGAUCUUUGACAUCCGACUUGAAAUUACAAGGGAGCCACAAGUAGUCACCCACUAGGUAGGUAAGGUCAACCACAAGGAUAUGUUUGUGAUGACAAAAAGAUACUAACGAGUUUGUAUUUACGGGCGGUUCCUCACGAAGGGGCAGGACAUUGAACAGGAUAAUCCUGUAAUGUAAUACACGUACGGGUACUAAUAUCACGAGUACUAGACAUUAGAUAUUCUACAAGACCUAUAGAGCGUAUGUCUGACUUUACUCACUUGUUUGGGUGAUUGCACAG